CCUACGGGUGGCUGCAGUGGGGAAUAUUGGACAAUGGGGGCAACCCUGAUCCAGCCAUGCCGCGUGUGUGAAGAAGGCCCUCGGGUUGUAAAGCACUUUCAGUGAGGAAGAACGCCUGGUGGUUAAUACCCAUCAGGAAAGACAUCACUCACAGAAGAAGCACCGGCUAACUCCGUGCCAGCAGCCGCGGUAAUACGGAGGGUGCGGGCGUUAAUCGGAAUUACUGGGCGUAAAGCGCGCGUAGGUGGCUUGAUAAGCCGGUUGUGAAAGCCCCGGGCUCAACCUGGGAACGGCAUCCGGAACUGUCAAGCUAGAGUGCAGGAGAGGAAGGUAGAAUUCCCGGUGUAGCGGUGAAAUGCGUAGAGAUCGGGAGGAAUACCAGUGGCGAAGGCGGCCUUCUGGACUGACACUGACACUGAGGUGCGAAAGCGUGGGUAGCAAACAGGAUUAGAUACCCCUGUAGUC
rnacentral:rRNA from 1 species